GACGAGCCACACGAACGUUAUUCGGAAUUACUGGGCUUAAAGGGUGCGUAGGCGGCGCGGAAAGUUGGGUGUGAAAUACCUCGGCUCAACCGAGGAACUGCGCCCAAAACUACCGUGCUCGAGGGAGAUAGAGGUGAGCGGAACUUACGGUGGAGCGGUGAAAUGCGUUGAUAUCGUAAGGAACACCCGUGGCGAAAGCGGCUCACUGGGUCUUCUCUGACGCUGAUGCACGAAAGCUAGGGGAGCAAACGGG
rnacentral:rRNA from 1 species